rnacentral:sRNA from 1 species
UGAGAAAAAAAGGAAUCUGAAACAUUAUGCAAGACUUUUAUUAGCAACAAUUUUUAUAUUUUUGAAAUGUUUAUAUAAAGAUUAAGCAAAUAACUAAAGAUUUUAAUGUUAAUAGAAACAUAAAGUUCAUAAAUCUUUAUAAAAACAAUUUUUAAAAUUUGUAUUUUUAAUUGUUCCCUCUUUUAUAUUUCAGGUUAGUCUUUAAAAAGCUGUUUAAUAAAGAGAAUUCCAGAUAUUAUUUCCAGUAGUCUAUAUAACUUUGACUAUUAUCACUUCAAAAAUAACAAUAGAUGUAUUUCAGUAAUUAGAUUAAUUGCAAUUCUCUAUAUUUUUGCAGUUUUGUUUUAUAACAUGAGUUUGGAUGUGAACAGAAAGGCAGAGUCUCCACCAAGAUUCUAUUUUUCUUCUAAUGGAACUUCUGACGUGAUUACAGGAAGCAUACAAGUGUCCAGCAGAGUAGCUAACUGUAGAACACAUCGAGCAUUUAUGCGGAAAGAUGUGCGGGACAUCCUUACCCCAAUUCAGAUUGAAGCUGCUUACCACCUUGGUCCUCAUGUCAUCAGUAAACGAAGUACAGAGGAAUUCCCACCGCUUCAGCCAAUUCUUCAGCAGAAGAAAGAAAAAGACAUAAUUAAAAAAACAAUAAACUUUGCAAGGUUUUGUGCCCAUGAAAAUUGUUCUGCUGAUUUACAGGUUUCUGCAAAGAUUGGGUUUU